UUUUUUUCUAGUAACAAUAACUUGAGUCACCAAGAUGAAACCUAUGAUUCAUUUUUCACACUUACUAGGUGAUAAAAGUGACUUCUGUUUUUUCCCCCUCUCUCUUAGAAGCCUCCAGUGCCUGUCCUUCAAUCAGCCUGGCUAAAAUGCUGUCUGGGAGCAGAUCUGGCUGUAUACCAGCAGAGUGGCUGGUGUACAGUUGGAGGAGGUUGAUGAGGGUUUACAACUUUGCAGCUGUGGCGCCUUUUGCUGGUCAGAACCCCCUGUGUGCGUGCGUGCUGGCAUGUGUCACACAGCCUCCUUUGUUGAUAUGACUCAUCUGCCUGCUGACACUUUACUUGGGAGAUCAACCUUCGUGCUAAAGAGUGUUUGCAAGGAUUGUUGAUGGUGGACAUGUGGACAAGGAUUGCACUGGAGUUACCAUCUGUAUUAACACACAAGGAUGACAACAUGGUCAGCAGUCAUUAGAGGCCCGCAGAAAGCAUCUCCUUGUGUCUGGUCUCAUCAUCUCUGGAGUGAAAGGUACAUCUUCCAGAGGGUUGGGGGAGGGUACAGAACUCGAGGAAAAGGUGCAGCAAUGGAGCUCACUGGACGCUGAUGAAAGUGAAUUCUACAACUGGAAAAUCCCAAUGAUCUGGGACAGGGCAUCCUUCUCUGGACCUGCUGUGAUCUCAGUCCUACCAAAGUGACAAAUUCCAUAGCUAGAGUCCUUCAACAUCUGCAGCCGUCCCUUGGAUCUAACUGGAAGAAGCCUGA